GACGAACGCUGGCGGCGUGCUUAACACAUGCAAGUCGAACGAAGAGCGAUGGAAGCUUGCUUCUAUCAAUCUUAGUGGCGAACGGGUGAGUAACGCGUAAUCAACCUGCCCUUCUGAGGGGGACAACAGUUGGAAACGACUGCUAAUACCGCAUACGAUCUAAUCUCGGCAUCGAGGAUAGAUGAAAGGUGGCCUCUACAUGUAAGCUAUCACUGAAGGAGGGGAUUGCGUCUGAUUAGCUAGUUGGAGGGGUAACGGCCCACCAAGGCGAUGAUCAGUAGCCGGUCUGAGAGGAUGAACGGCCACAUUGGGACUGAGACACGGCCCAGACUCCUACGGGAGGCAGCAGUGGGGAAUCUUCCGCAAUGGACGAAAGUCUGACGGAGCAGCGCCGCGUGAGUGAUGACGGCCUUCGGGUUGUAAAGCUCUGUUAAUCGGGACGAAAGGCCUUCUUGCGAAUAGUGAGAAGGAUUGACGGUACCGGAAUAGAAAGCCACGGCUAACUACGUG
rnacentral:rRNA from 1 species